GAUAACGUGAUGACGUCGUAUGCGAACGUGAUGACGAGGAACGAGGAAGCCUUUUCUGGGCGAAACGCGUCAUCACGUUCGCAUACGACGUCAUCACGUUAUC